GACGGAGGGUGCAAGCGUUGUUCGGAAUUACUGGGCGUAAAGGGCUCGUAGGCGGCCAACUAAGUCAGACGUGAAAUCCCUCAGCUUAACUGGGGAACUGCGUCUGAUACUGGAUGGCUUGGAUUUGGGAGAGGGAUGCGGAAUUCCAGGUGUAGCGGUGAAAUGCGUAGAUAUCUGGAGGAACACCGGUGGCGAAGGCGGCAUCCUGGACCAAUAUUGACGCCGAGGAGCGAAAGCCAGGGGAGCAAACGGG
rnacentral:rRNA from 1 species